UCAAAGCCUUCAGAAAUUCAGUUUCUGGAAGAAAAGAAGUCAUACAAGCUUCAGCACUUGGGCUGACCCACUGAAAUCAGUGGAGGUACCUUUGCCAAGGUGGACUUUGACCCGUGGAUUCACAAUGAACAAAAAUUAUUUCUUGAAGAGUUGUUUAAAUAACUAAGUAACAACAGGCUCCCAUGGGAUAAGAGAGCAUGAAAAAGAGAAAAAGAGAGAAGGGGAAUGAAGCAAUCAGAAGGGAGAAAGGAUGGGGAAAAAAAAAAAAAAAAAAAAAGGCUAGAAAUGAUCUAGAGGAUAAAUAAAAGCAAAGGGCAUGCUUAAAGCACAGGACAAGAAAAUGACAGACAAAAGAAACAGGAAUAAUGACAGAGAGAAAGAAAAAAAAAAAAAGAAAAAGGCUUAAAAUAAGAGUGGGUACUCGUAAUGCUGAAAAGAGAGAUAGAAACAAUAGUAAGAGGGGAAGAGAAGAAAGACUGGCAUGAGGCCUUGGUGGCACUGUGAGGAGAGAGGCUAGAAAAAAGCCUCAGCACAACAAUAGAGGGAUGAGAGACAGAGGCGCGAGGGGGGCAGCACAGAUUAAAUGAGAACCAAAUGUAACCGUAACAAAGGUUCCGAGAUAUAGGCAAUGAAAACAUCUUAACAGGGAAAUGUUUUUUUGUAUGUGUGUGUGCACGUGUGUGUAUUUUCACAUACUCAAAAAGAUUCUUUCUCUCCGCCAAGAAACACUCCCUCCCUGCUCUCCCCAUCCACCAGCUCCCCCUCCACCCCCCCAACCCAGAACAGCUCAGUCUCAAAAGCAAAGGCAAGGAACACUCAGUGUCACUCUGGACUUCAAUUAUUAUUUCUUUUUCUUUUCCUUUCCUUUCUCAAUUUUCAAACAAGCACCUCCAUGGAGGCUGCCCCUCCUUAAAAUCCAUUUUUAAAAUUCUCUCUUGCUGUGAUGGCUGCAAAAGAUGUGACAAUUGGCAGGCUGCUGCUGUGCUGAAACUAGUGUUUGUUGUGCUGACCAGUUUUCUAGCUGUUUCCUCAUAAUUCUUAGAUGGCUUUUCAUACCCGUUUAUUGUCUUUCCUCUUGGAGUGGAAGCACUUUAAGAUGGGGCUGUCUCUGUACCUGUGCAGCAGCCAGUGAAGGGCAAUAUUAACAAAGGUUCUCCUGUGAUUUUUGCAAGUCACUUUUGAAAAUUUCUUCCUGUUCCUGAGGGAUUCAAAUAUGGCCUUUUUCUUGGUUGAAAAUAAGCAUUUAGAUGCAUUCCUGUUUACACAUGCCACAGCAGAGCUCCCACAGAAGCCUCCAGACCUGAAGGAAAGUCAUAGCAGCACCUACACGGACUGAAGGCUAUGGCUCCGGUGAUGCUGGUGCAGUGGGGUGGCAGGGACUGUGUAGCAUGGACUUGUCAUGCAAAGCCCUGCAAGCUCCCUUCUCACUUUCCCAUGACGCACUGUUGCAGGUGAGUGUCUUGUCUGUGCACAGUCCCUCAGGGUGGGCUUGUCUUGGCCCAGUCACCCACAGAGCACAGCAAGAGCCAAGAGAGCAUGAGGUAGAGAAGCAAAAAGUGUUCGUGUUUAUUGUGUGUUGUGUGCUUGGGGAAGUAGUCAAUCCUGGUUCCUUUGUGCCCUUGAGAAGGGUGCAGGAGGACUCCCUUGAAUGUGAGCCUUCUCUGGAGAGAAUUAGAUUAUUGUCCUCUCCAACCCAGGUGGCUGUCCCCUGUCACACUGCUUUGAUCUGCUCUUGACUACCAUUUUGUUCCUGGUGCCCGGGACAGCAGAUACCUCACUGACCGUAUGACAGGAAUGCAUCUAUACUGCUCAAACAUCUGAUGGAAAAGACAUCUGUUGAUCCUGCUGGAAAAUGAGUGGCUUUAUGAAGCACAUGUAGGGCAGUUGCUCAGUUCUCUUCUGUAAAACAGCACAGAAAGAUGGCAACACCUUCCAGUACCUGCUGCUCAGACAGGUGGUACAAGAGCCCCUAAAUCUGUGUGCAGCGGUAUAGGGAUAUAUGGAAGAUGUACCUUAAAUAUUGACUGUCACUGAUAUUUCUUGUCAAUUUCUCUUCAAAAGACAGCUGCUGCCAGACUCAAACUGGUCAUUUGGGACAAGAAGGAGAACAUGGGAGAGGAAUAAAAUGCAAUUAUUUACAGUGUAACCAAGCAGUUUUUACACAGAGGGUGAUAUAAAAGUGAGGGAAGCAACAGAAGUGAGGAACAGUUGCUAUCUUAAUAGAAGAGCAGCUUCCUGCAGCUUCCUGGUUCCUUAGAUUUUUAUUUUAAUACUUUUGUACCAAGACCAAGCAAAAGAAACUCCUCAACUACUAAGUGCAACUUAUGGGGCAAAGUGGGGAACUGCUGUGAGUACUGUGCUUCAGAGGAGCCAGUGCUCCUAAGGUACUACUCAGGUACUGUUCAACAUACAGGUUGAAAUAGGCUUAAAUUGUAAAGUUUGGAUAAAAAACUGCAGAUAAUUCCAAAUUUCUGUAAACCUAUUUGUGCAUAUGUUAUGUAGGAGGUUGCAAGAAUGAAGUUCUGCAAAUGAAUCUGAAUUUCCCAAAGGUCUGGACUGUACUUUCAUGCCAAGAAAUCGCAUUAUUGAGUUUUUAAACAAAUGAUCAUUAAUGAUGAUCUUAAUGAUCAUUGACAUUGUUCUUGUAGAGGAGUCAGGGAAAUGUCACGCAGUGCAAUCCUUGCUGCUAAAGGGUUAAACUCUUUCUUGGCUGGGGCAGCUUGCUGACCUAGCUAAGAGAAAAAAGCUAUAGGUCAGCGAGUGAGAUUGCCCUUCCUUUAGAAGAACUGCCCAGACAGUCCAGGAAGAUUACAAUAAGUGUGUAGAGACUAAGCUAGGAAUUAGAGACUAGGGAGUGCUGAUUUCAAUUCUUUUAUGUGCAGUCUUUGGGCUAAAAUCCAGGGAGUUGAAUUAGCAUAAACUGUUCCAGUAACCCCGAGGAUAUAUUACUCAGCCCCACCUAGCUGGAGGGCUUGAGCACCACCAUACCUGGAACUGCUGACACUCGGACAGGAAGCUGACAGAUAAAAAGAUAGAUUGGUCUGAUCGGGUAAGCGGAGGCAUGGCUAAACGAUUUACACAGGGCCAAAGAGAAUGCGGAAGGGAAGAAGACACUGAAAGAAAUCUAAAGAUUAUUAAUAUUCUUCUCUCAUUGAGGCUUUCUCUUGUUCUCCAGCUCUGAGAUAAAAGCAGGUGGUGAAGGCAAUGCUGAACAUGUUCAGCACAUUCAGCUGAACACAAUUCACAGAAAUGGAGUUGCAUUUCAGUCAAUGCACAGGUAGGUUGUAUCAAAAAAAAUAAAAUCUGGAUAAUGCGAGACAUGAUCCUCCUGUUGGCCCAUUAAAAGGGUUUGGAGCCUUGGAACAACAGCAAUAGAGAGGGUCCUCAAUCUACUACUUCUCUGGGUGGAGCACAAGCAGAAGAAAAUGUGGAUGCUCGACAGUUGUCAACUGUAGAUACAAGAGCUGAUAAUUUACCAGCAGCAGUAUCUCCAAAUUAGCAUCCUAAGUGUUUGGAGAUGCCAGACAGCCAAUGGCAGCCAGAUUUACAACUGAUAAGCUCGCUGUUUGAGCUCACAAGUACCCAGCACCCCAUGUCAGCUGGCUGGCACCUGUUCUCACAAAAAUAAUACAACUAGUGUAUUACACUCUGCAACAGCAGUUGACAAUGUGACCAUGAGUAGCACCAUGUUUAAUUACAGUCAUACUUCACCUUCUGGAAUUAAACAGUGGGAAAUACCAACUGUGAAUUCAUCAAGAAGAGAUUUGGUUAGGAGAAGAGGGGAGUGGCUGUGCAUUGGUUUAAAACUAAAGUCACAGAUGGAGCUGGUAAGGCAGAGGCCUGGAAGUGUCUGUAAGAAGCUGAACGGGGAAUCUGAAAGCAAUUCCUUAAACUUCUGCCAGCUGAAGAAGAAGACAGUGCUAAAGCCCUAAUUAGAAGUCUGGUGAGAAAUCUUUCUGGGGAAAACCACCUGCAGGCAGAUUGCUUUCAAAUGUGGUCUUGCAAAUCACUCUGAAACCAAGGGAGCCAGCCUUAGCCAUAGUGCUUAUAAUACACGGAGACAAGGACCAUCUCCCCUCCAUGCUGACCUGUGCUCCAAUGCAAUUACCUCUGCAGCUGAUUGUACAAGCCUCUUCCUCACAAGUGGGAGCUAUUUUCAUAGACCUCAUUGUUUUAGACAGUUUUAGAAAUGAUGGUCUAUUUCUAAUGUAAGAGAGCCCUGACAGUGGCAUCCCUGCUAAUGGACUGUAAUUACAGGAUUGAUCCCACUUCCCUGCCAAUAUGAACCCUUCUGUGCUUUCUAAGGCAACAACAACAGCAUAAAUCAAUGGUCUGCCACAACAAGCUUCAGUGGAUUCAGGUUUGGUUGGCUUUGUGUAGCUGCUGAGGAGACCUGCAUGGGAAGUGGGACCUUUCCCAGGAAUUGUGAGGCCACCUGCGACUUUAAACCUUCCUUCCUUCUACAAGUUAAAUGGUACCAUGAGGAUUCCAGUACUAGGAAUGCUGGUUUCUGUCAGAUCAGAACUGGAAAGAAUUACCAUAGUUUCAUAGAAUCCGGGUUAUGUUAUUUCUGUUGUUGUAGAAGAUAUGUCAUCUGAUGGGUCAAAUUCAUAGUAAUUUUCAGAUUAAUCAGAUUUUUUCUCUGAUUUUGCAAAUAAUUGUAAUCAUAGCAAGUAUUAUGAAGAUUAUAAGUGGAAAAUCUCUCUCUUUAUCAAUAAAGUCAUUGGUUUCUUGCAGAAAUUGAAAUGAAAAUCUUUGGUGAAUACAGUAGAAUUAUGUACAAAUGCAUUUUAUCUUAUUUUACUUUAUUUUUGGUUUUAAUUCUGUAGAAAAAUCUUUCACAUUUAAAAGCAUAUUUGCUAGAAAAAGGAAACCUGAGGUGAAGUUUUUCCUGAAGAACAUGGACAUGGAAUUUUUUCAACUUUAUUCUUCUCAGAAAGUGUUUUCAUGUUAAUAUGCAAAAGGACUCAAUUUUGUGCUUUUACAACACAUUUUCAAAGUAAUAUGUUUGUUUAAAAACAGGUACAUUUUGUUAAGAAAUGCUUGGAUUUAAUCUUUUUACACAUAUAAACAUUUUUAGGUUUUAUACAAAUAAGGACUCUUAAUGUAGCUUUAUGUUUACUUGAUAUUAUUCUGCACAGUUCUAUAUGAGAACUUGCCAAAAAGUAUUUAUAGAUAAAUUUUGCUUGAUACAAUGUAGGAUCUUCAGUUUCAUGUCCAUUACUGCAAUGUAUAUGUGAUUCAGGUGUGCAACUUCAUUGUACAAUAUACUUUGCUAUUUCACAGUGAUGAAUGGAAUAGGAUGGUGGCACAAACUUUUAACAAAGUUCAGAGACCGCAAUAAAGGUGGAUCUAAAAGCUAAUUCCUUCUGUCAAAACCAUUUAAAUCACUGAAGGACCUAGGCAUUACUCUUCCUUUGCAACUGCAGUAAAGUCCACUAAGAUGUCAACUCACAGUGAUGGGAAGGUCCUUAUUCUCCACCUCAAUAGUACUAAAGAAGCUAAUGUUUAUUUAUUUAUUUAUUUAUUUUGUAAAUAAGUCCACAUGCAGCGGAACCAUAAAACAUCAUUUUGCUCCUUCCAAAAGUACUACCAUGUAAUGUCUGUAGCUUUGGUUUUUAUUUAAUUUUUUGAUUAAAGUUUUUAUUGAUUUCCCUGCAGUGUAGAAUAUAUCAAUAUCUUUGGUUUCAAAGGAGCAUUCAGUAGCACAGAAACACAGAAGGACUCAACAUAGAAGCAGGUGCUUUAUUUUAAAUUUAUGAAACCUCCAUAGCAAAUCCCCCGAGCAUGCUGCCAGCAAUACCUUUCAAUUGUGCAACUCAGCCUCUCUUGUUGAACCAAGUCCCUUUGGUGCCUCCCAGUUUGCAGGCUUGUGUUUUUUAACUAGAAAAAGGCUUGUUUAGGAGUCAGUAGGAACUAAUAUUGUUAUAUAGAAAGCUUUUAAGCCAUCAAGUGAAUUCCA